GUAGAGUUGUGGAUCGGUAUCGAAGCUCUUUGAGCCCUUCUACCGUAGAAGCCUUAGUUUGUACCCAAGAUUGGCUUCGUGAACAAUAUGAUGAAGGUAUAUAGAUCUUUUAAAUUUAUUUAAUAUUUUUUAUUUGCUUAUUGUACUUAUAAUUUAAACAUUUAUGAUUGAUUUGUGUGUUAACAGUUGCAAAUUGCUCGAGUUCUGUAACGUUGAAUGUAGAUGACGACACCCUGGACUC
rnacentral:lncRNA from 1 species